rnacentral:tRNA from 1 species
UCGAGUAUGGUGAAUGGCUAACAUUACCACCUUUCACGCGGUAGCUCGGGGUUCGAUUCCCCAUACUCGAA